rnacentral:rRNA from 1 species
UACGGGGGGAGCAAGCGUUGUUCGGAUUUACUGGGCGUAAAGGGCGCGUAGGCGGUCAGCACAAGUCAGUUGUGAAAUCUCCGGGCUUAACUCGGAAAGGUCAACUGAUACUGUGCGACUAGAGUGCGGAAGGGGCAACUGGAAUUCUCGGUGUAGCGGUGAAAUGCGCAGAUAUCGGGAGGAACACCGGUGGCGAAGGCGGUUCUCUGGGCCUGACCUGACGCUGAGGAGCGAAAGCGUGGGGAGCGAACAGG